rnacentral:rRNA from 1 species
UACCAGCACCCCGAGUGGUCGGGACGUUUUAUUGGGCCUAAAGCAUCUGUAGCCGGUUUUACAAGUCCCCCGUUAAAUCCAGCUGCUUAACAGAUGGGCUGCGGAGGAUACUAUAAGACUAGGAGGCAGGAGAGGCAAGCGGUAGCUCAGUGGGUAGGGGUAAAAUCCGUUGAUCCAUUGAAGACCACCAGUGGCGAAGGCGGCUUGCCAGAAUGCGCUCGACGGUGAGGGAUGAAAGCUGGGGGAGCAAACCGG